UAGGGAAUCUUCGGCAAUGGACGAAAGUCUGACCGAGCAACGCCGCGUGAGUGAAGAAGGUUUUCGGAUCGUAAAACUCUGUUGUUAGAGAAGAACAAGGACGUUAGUAACUGAACGUCCCCUGACGGUAUCUAACCAGAAAGCCACGGCUAACUACGUGCCAGCAGCCGCGGUAAUACGUAGGUGGCAAGCGUUGUCCGGAUUUAUUGGGCGUAAAGCGAGCGCAGGCGGUUUCUUAAGUCUGAUGUGAAAGCCCCCGGCUCAACCGGGGAGGGUCCUUGGAAACUGGGAGACUUGAGUGCAGAAGAGGAGAGUGGAAUUCCAUGUGUAGCGGUGAAAUGCGUAGAUAUAUGGAGGAACACCAGUGGCGAAGGCGGCUCUCUGGUCUGUUACUGACGCUGAGGCUCGAAAGCGUGGGGAGCAAACAGG
rnacentral:rRNA from 1 species